GAUGAACGCUAGCGGCAGGCCUAAUACAUGCAAGACGAACGGUAAGUUGAGUAGCAAUACUUAGCCAAGAGUGUCGUACGGGUGCGUAACACGUAUGCAACCUACCCUAUACAGGAGGAUAGCCUAGGGAAACCUGGAUUAACCCUUCAUAGUAUUAUUGGAUGGCAUCAUUUGAUAAUUAAAACUGAGGUGGUAUAGGAUGGGCAUGCGUCUGAUUAGUUAGUUGGCGGGUAAUGGCCCACCAAGACGAUGAUCAGUAGGGGUUCUGAGAGGAAGAUCCCCCACACUGGCACUGAGAUACGGGCCAGACUCCUACGGGAGGCAGUAGUAGGGAAUAUUGGUCAAUGGAUGCAAGUCUGAACCAGCCAUGCCGCGUGCAGGAAGAAGGGCCUUUCUGGGUUGUAAACUGCUUUUUGCCAGGGGAUAAAAUUUCCAUGCGUGGAAAACUGAAGGUACCUGGUGAAUAAGCCACGGGCUAACUACGUGCCAGCAGCCGCGGUAAU
rnacentral:rRNA from 1 species